rnacentral:rRNA from 1 species
UACGAAGGGGGCUAGCGUUGCCCGGAAUCACUGGGCGUAAAGCGCACGUAGGCGGAUCUUUAAGUCGGGGGUGAAAUCCUGGAGCUCAACUCCAGAACUGCCUCCGAUACUGGGGAUCUUGAGUCCGAGAGAGGUGAGUGGAACUCCGAGUGUAGAGGUGAAAUUCGUAGAUAUUCGGAAGAACACCAGUGGCGAAGGCGGCUCACUGGCUCGGUACUGACGCUGAGGUGCGAAAGCGUGGGGAG